GUAAAAGGCCUAUGGGAUCCACUCCUGAUUUAGAGGAACAGUGGAUCAAAAGCGGAAGGUGACAAUUCCUAAGGGAUUGCCUCCUGUGAAAGCGGAUGUAUUUCACGGUAAGACUCACUCAGGAGGCACAUUUCUCCCUCUUACAUAUGUUUCAUACUUCCACUUUUAUUGGAAGUACUGAGCAGUGCAAAAAUUCAGAUGUGGGACUUGAGCAGACAGUGACAGUUCAGAAGGAAGUCCUGCUAUUCUGUGAUGAUGCAGUUUGUCUAGAGUUUUGGCAGCUACUGCCACCCCAUGGUUUCCCACAAGGGACGAAUGCUGCAGAGCUUUUAAACGUUGCGUUUCUCCAGAAACCUCUCACAGGUCAGAGAGAAGACAACAAACACUCAUUUUUGUCUUACCCCCUUCUUCCCUAUGUCCCCUUUUCAGUAAAAGCCCCUCUGCAAAUAAAAGCAAGUAUGGCAUGAGCAGCAUUGCUUUGGUUUAGCACGGAUGAGUCCCUUCCACUGGAUUUACAACUGUGUAAUUGAAUAUUAAUUUUGGCUCCCGGGAGUUUUCACUGAUUAUAUCUGCAUUGGCAGGAAGUAUUUUGCAUUCUUUAUUUAUUUUUUUUUUUUUCCAGGAACUUCAAAACACAUAUCUGGAGAAAGCUUUUGAAACCCAUUUCUUACAGUUGCUGCUGCUUUGGGAGUUUUUGUUUACAUCAUGGAUGCCACAUACAGACAGAUCUGGGUUAAAGCAAGCUGGUCUGAGUGGUGUCCUCUGAGUGUUGCUUCCAGCAGAGCUUUGCCCUCCAGUGCCUCAGCAGGUACUCAGUUGAAGGUUCUGACAUGGAAGGGGGACAUUUCAGGUAUUGUUACUCCACACAUUACUUCAUGCCAGGGAAUACCCUUGGUGUGGAGGAAGAGUUUGCUUUUUAAGAAGAGGCAAGAGAGACCUCAUUUUUGUGUAUCUUCUUGCUGGAGUUGGAAGCUUCUUUCCCUUGGACCAACCCAGCUG